rnacentral:rRNA from 1 species
AUGCACAACUGCCAAGCAAACACGCAGGUAACAGACGCGGUCGCUUCCCUUGGCUCCCGCCGCGCUCCCGCUCCCGCCUCACGACACAAGCAAAGCAUCCCAACUGAGCUCCCUAUUUAUGCAGCGAUCCCCGCCACACUCAUCCAUCACCAGACCGAACAAACCUCCACACCAAAAGCAAAAGAGCGGAGCAGCUACACCGGCCUCGCGAUCCUUUUUGCUGAAUCCACGCAGAUAAGCACAAUGGCGGCGCCGGCGAUGUUUCCUAAGGCGACCAGGAAGGCCUCCGUGGGCGGCCGGGCGUGGCGGCUGCUGCGGCUGGCGGUGCUCUGGGCGCGGAAGGGGAGCGCGGCGCAGAGCCUCCGCCUGCUCAAGACGCUGCGGCACAGCCGCGUCGCCGGCCUCGGCCUCGGCCACGGCGGCCGGCGCAACGACCGGCUGCACUACGGCGAGCGGGAGUUCUCCAUCGACGAGACGCCGGCGUUCCGGUUCCGCACCCCCUCCGCGCGCGUGCUCCGGUUCAUCCCCUGCAUCGCGCCCUCCGUCCCCGACACCCCAGGCGUCUACGGCGACGACCGCUACUUCUUCCGCGACGACCGCAAGAGGGACGCGAGCUGCGCCGGGGACUUCUACGAUGACCAGCCGAGCGAGUGCGGCCUGGAGAGCCUCGACGAUGGCGCGGAUGAGCAGCUGCUCGAGCGCGCGAUGAUGGAGGCGAGCGUCGGCUCGGCGGGAGCCGCGGAGGCCGGCGAGGAUGCCGGGGUGGACGUGAAGGCGGACGAGUUCAUCGCAAAGUUCUACGCGCAGAUGAAGCUGCAACGGCAAAUCUCGUGGCUGCAAUACAACGAGAUGAUGGAAAGGAGCGUCUGCUAG